rnacentral:lncRNA from 1 species
GGGAGGGGAGGCGGGGAGGAAGGGCCCUGGACCCAGCCCUGUGCUCCUAGAAGAGAGGGGCAGCCCUCUUCCCUCGGAGGCCUGUGUGGAGGCCCGGCCUCAGCCUUGGGCCUCCACAGCUCCCCACCCAGUCGGGAGCCCCUGGGACCAGGCUGUGGUCCCAGAGCUGAGGCCGAAGGUGCCCAGCUAUCUCAGCCCGUCCUUGUUGGAACGUCGACAUUUUGUGCCCCGGGGGUUUCUUGCUGACUCUCCAGAGGCGGUGUGAAGAGGUCUGCCCCCCUCCCCCGAGCUGGGCGCAGUGCCCGUCCAGCCUGGGCGAGGCCCUGGUUCCACCCCCAGCAACAAGACAACCGUAAGAGUCAACAGUGGGCACGACCUCGAUCUCGCCUCCUGAGGAGGCUGAGGCAGGAGGACGGCAAGGUCGAGGCCAGCAGGGCCACCGAGGGAGACCCUGUGUCAAAGUGAGAAAGACUGGCGGUGCCACCCAGCGGGAGCAGCCUGGCCGGAUGCAGGAGGCACGCAUGACGACGACGAUGACAGGACUUCCCUCAAAGGGAGCUCCAAGGGCACCCUCCCUGCGGAUCCCGGAUCCGUUUGUGCCAGCCCCAUGCCGGGCGAGGGUUGGCAGAUGCCCUGAGGAGACCGACCCCAGCCAGGCCAGAGCAGAGGGAGGGGAGCAAGGAUGUGCCCGCUCUGAGCUCGGGAAACUCCACCCUCCUCCACUGGCUCCGGAAACUUCUGCUCCAGUGGGAAAGGACUGCUGUUAGGCUCAGGCCACUGGGGCCUCGAGCUCCUCUUCUAUAACACGGACUCGGUGACGCUACUGCUGGCCUCCCAGGAUCAGGACGAGUGGGGAGGUCACCAGGAAGCACCAGGUUGGUGGCAGUGGCUGGAGGACCCCCUGCCCCCAUCAGUCAUAGUCGCUCCCUACGGAGGCCGGGGGGAGCUGAGCAGGAGAACCACGUGCCACACCAGCGUGUCCUCGCUCCCACCCUGUCUCCUCCCUGCCUCUUCUCUGGAGGUGGGACUGGAAGGUGAGGCCUUCUGGGUUCAGAGAGAGACGAGCUCUGAGACCCAAGUCCCCAGCUGACCACCUCCUGUGUGGCACCGGGCAAGUCCUCAACCUCUCUGGGCCUCAUUUUCCCUGUCUGUCUAGCACCUUCCCCAGGAGCCCGUGCCAGGCUCCAGCGCAGGAUCUGGCCCCGUCAUCCUGGGUCUUCACCCAAGGGAGGCCACAGCUCGUGGCCCAGGAGGCUCCUACCAGAGGCCCUGGCCUCUCCGUGCCCCAGGCUCCCAGAGGACAGUCCCCCAGGCAAGUGUGCAAAGGCUGGGCCUCCCGGCCUCCCGGAGGACAGCCCGGGAUGGUUGAGAACUGGGGCGCCCACCGUCCUCGGAAGGUGAAGCACUACGGUGGCAGACCUGCAGCGUGGACGUGGCCAGCACCGAGGGGACAAGUUCUGGGGCCUGGACCCGGGGGACCCCACAGUCUCCCUAGUGAAGAAGUGACCGAGCAUCAGGGCACAUGGUCCUCCCGCUGCUCCGCGUGGACCUGGGAGCCUGCACUGACCCAUGGGGCCAGCAGCACACAGGACGGUCAGCAAAUGACCAGCAAGUGACCGGUGCUGCGGGGCCCGUGGGGGCCGCCUCUGCAGAUGGGGUCGAGCGCCUCCUGAGGGUGCCGGAGCGCCCCGGGGCGGCUCGCUGGGUCCCUCCUGGGCGAACGUCAGAUUCGGCAUUUGGGGUCCUCGUUCCUCCGCGGCAGUGGCCACGGGAGCUGCCCUGGGGAACACUUGUGUGGGACCCUUUAAAGGCAAAGGCAUCAAUCAAAGGCCACCACGUCUCCGUGCUCAGUCCCCAGGGUACAGCGUCCGCGCCCAGGACACAGGGGGCCCAGCCACAUCCACGUGCGUCUUCUGGGAAGUGAGGCUGGGGCCCGUGGCCGGGCACCGUGUGCGAGGCCCUGGGCUCCAUCCCCGGCACCCGGGAGGACUUCUGAGGCCGUGGCUGCCCUGGGCCUCGGCUCCUUGGCAGUUCUUACUGAGCACCUACUAUGUGCCCCGGACAACCUGUGGAGGCUGCCCGCGGCCCUCUGCGGGGAUCCAACCUGCUGCCUGCAGGACCCCAGCUCGGCUCUGGCCUCGGGGGCAGCUGCGCAGGAGCAAGAUGCACCCUCUCCUGCCACGGCCGCUGGGCUCGGCCCACUGCCAUCGUGAGGAUGUCACCUAGGGACUGGGCUCGAGGUGCUGAGGCCGGUGACCCUAUGAGCCGACCUGGAAAUGCGCUAUGGGGUGAUCGGGGCACCCGACAGCACCAGGUGGGCACCCCGAGUGCUGCUCCGGUCCUGCUGCGUGGCUCUCCCUGAGUGGCCGGCCCGGGUCGUCCUCUCCUGGUUAGAAAUCACGAGUCUCAACUGCGCGUCGGGCACAGGCCGGCGACCGCGCGAUCCGUGGCCAGGCUGGGCCAGCUCUUUGCUCCCCCGAGGCCGAGGCCGGUGGCCCUGGCUGGCGAGCUUCCCACAGUGCACUUCUCCCUCCCUCCAGAUGGGCUCCCGGUCAGCUGGGCUGGCCUUCUGCGGCUCCCUGAGGACCAUCCAGGGAAGGGCUUCCGGGGCAGGUGAGGAGAGGCUGUGUCACGAGGCCCGAGAAUGGCCAGUGCUGGGGUCAUCGUCCGUUUUCAAAGUGGUCGUGUGUGGAGGUCCUUUGGGCACCCACAGCUCCGACACGACGUCGGUGGACACUUUUAACACGCAGCCAGUGAGAGGGGAGUAAGCGGAGGCCCCGCUGGGAUCUCGUCGCACAUCUUCUCGGCCUCUGGUGAGGCUGGGCCUCUCACGUUCCUGCUGACCGCCUGCGCUCUGCCUUUUGUGAUGAGCCUUCUCACAUUUUGAUGUUUUCUGCCUUCUCCUUAUUGGACCUGCGCGGGUUUUUAAGGCUGUGACGACCCCCAGGCACCACCCCGUUACCACAGCUCAGAGCUCUCUUAACAGGGUCAAAACUGACUCUUGGAGGUUUUUAAAAAAAGUCCCUCUUAACGCACACAACACAGAGGGACAUGGAGUGUCAACAGGAACACUGUGUCCACGGCCCAGGUCUUCAUAAGGCGUGGUCAGGUGACUGAACAGCACAGAGGGACCGUUUUCAAACAGAGAACACGGAUUCAUUUCAAUUUCUGAGUCUAUGACAAUGAACAUCUUCAGGGCAUCCUUGCCUUUUCCAAGUUUAGGGAAGACUCUUGGGAGCUGGACAGUGCCGUCUGGGCCUGCCUUCGCCUGUGCCACGCAUGUCAAACGGCUUCGCCAGCCCAUGCCCACACUUACCUCUAAGCAGUUUUGAAAAUGCCCGUUUCACCACAUCCUCACCAGCAUGGGGUUUUAUCAGUUUAAACAUCUUUGCUGACUUUGAUGAGUGCCAGAGCACUGUGCGUUCUGAAUCUUGUCCCCCCUUCUCAGGCUCUUGUAGGGCUGGACCUUACACGUUGGCUGGUCAUUUUGCCUCCUGGGAAUAUCCCAGGGUGGGAGAAGGGCGAACCCAGUGUAAGGACGAGGGGACUCCUCCUCCCAUGCACGGUCCCUGGGCAUCUUUUGGGAACUGGCUCCCGUCCUCUUGCCCCUGGACGCCCAAGCUGGGGAUGGCCCUGUCCCCUGAGCACAGAGCUGCAGUAUUUGCAACCUGCUCACUCUUCCCACAGCCAGGCUGUCCCUGGGCUCGCCAGGGGCCCACCCAACAGACCGUACACGGCACCCUGUACUGUCCCGUCCGGUGGCGAGGGAAAGCGCAUGCUUGGAACAGACGCGGUUCUUGUCAAAUAUUUUCGAUCCAUGGUAGGUUGGGCCCGCUGCAGGGGC